rnacentral:rRNA from 1 species
AGAACGAACGCUGGCGGCAUGCCUAAUACAUGCAAGUCGAACGAACUCUUCGGAGUUAGUGGCGCACGGGUGCGUAACGCGUGGGAAUCUGCCCCUUGGUUCGGAAUAACAGUUGGAAACGACUGCUAAUACCGGAUGAUGACGAAAGUCCAAAGAUUUAUCGCCAAGGGAUGAGCCCGCGUAGGAUUAGCUAGUUGGUGAGGUAAAGGCUCACCAAGGCAACGAUCCUUAGCUGGUCUGAGAGGAUGAUCAGCCACACGUGGGACUGAGACACGGCCCAGACUCCGUACGGGAGCAGCAGUAGGGAAUAUGGACAAGUGGGACGAAAGCCUGGAUCCAGCAAGUCGCCGCGUGAGUGAUGGAAGGUCGUUAGGGUUAUAAACGUCGUUACGUUUAACCGGAGUA